UGGAAUGCAGCGUAUCCUUUCUCUUCUGACCAGGCUGAAUUAUGGAUUAAUGGGAUGCGUGUGCCUUCCGGACACUGCACAACUCCUCAUGCUUGAACUCACAUCCUGUUUCAUACCAAAGUUCUUGCAGUACUUGCCUUGUAUCACAGAAACCUCUGAAAACCCAGCUUCCAAAAGGCUUCUGAGACCCUCUUUAUCCAAAACGACAGUGAUCUCAUCUUGGGUUUCUCAGAGUGCAUCUCCAUUUCAGCUGACAGACAGCCACAAAAGAAGCUCCAUCUCCAUAGCAAU